UACGUAGGGGGCAAGCGUUGUCCGGAAUCAUUGGGCGUAAAGAGCGUGUAGGCGGCUUGGCAAGUCUGGUGUGAAAUCUUGCGGCUCAACCGCAAGCGGUCACUGGAAACUGCCUCGCUAGAGUCCGGAAGAGGAGAGCGGAAUUCCUGGUGUAGCGGUGGAAUGCGCAGAUAUCAGGAAGAACACCCGUGGCGAAGGCGGCUUGCUGGGCCUUACCUGACGCUGAGGAGCGAAAGCGUGGGGAGCGAACAGG
rnacentral:rRNA from 1 species